AACGAACGCUGGCGGCAUGCCUAACACAUGCAAGUCGAACGAGACCUUCGGGUCUAGUGGCGCACGGGUGCGUAACGCGUGGGAACCUGCCCUUAGGUUCGGAAUAACUCCCCGAAAGGGGUGCUAAUACCGGAUAAUGUCUUCGGACCAAAGAUUUAUCGCCUUUGGAUGGGCCCGCGUUGGAUUAGCUAGUUGGUAGGGUAAAAGCCUACCAAGGCGAUGAUCCAUAGCUGGUCUGAGAGGAUGAUCAGCCACACUGGGACUGAGACACGGCCCAGACUCCUACGGGAGGCAGCAGUGGGGAAUAUUGGACAAGGGGCGAAAGCCUGAUCCAGCAAUGCCGCGUGAGUGAUGAAGGGCUUAGGGUUGUAAAGCUCUUUUACCCGGGAUGAUAAUGACAGUACCGGGAGAAUAAGCUCCGGCUAACUCCGUG
rnacentral:rRNA from 1 species